rnacentral:rRNA from 1 species
AAAGUGGCGCACGGGUGAGUAACGCGUGGAUAAUCUGCCCGAGGAUUUGGGAUAACAUCUCGAAAGGGGUGCUAAUACCGAAUAAGCCCACGGGGUCUACGGAUCUUGCGGGAAAAGGGGGGGACCUUCGGGCCUCCUGUCCUUGGAUGAGUCUGCGUACCAUUAGCUAGUUGGUGGGGUAAUGGCCUACCAAGGCGACGAUGGUUAGCUGGUCUGAGAGGAUGAUCAGCCACACUGGAACUGAGACACGGUCCAGACUCCUACGGGAGGCAGCAGUGGGGAAUUUUGCGCAAUGGGGGAAACCCUGACGCAGCAACGCCGCGUGGGUGAUGAAGGCCUUCGGGUCGUAAAGCUCUGUCUGGAGGGAAGAAAUGAUUGGGAGCUAAUACCUCUUGAUCUUGACGGUACCUCUGAAGGAAGCACCGGCUAACUCCGUGCCAGCAGCCGCGGUAAUACGGAGGGUGCAAGCGUUGUUCGGAAUUAUUGGGCGUAAAGCGCGUGUAGGCGGUCUUUUAAGUCUGAUGUGAAAGCCCCGGGCUCAACCUGGGAAGUGCAUUGGAAACUGGGAGGCUUGAGUACGGGAGAGGAGAGUGGAAUUCCUAGUGUAGGAGUGAAAUCCGUAGAUAUUAGGAGGAACACCGGUGGCGAAGGCGGCUCUCUGGACCGAUACUGACG